rnacentral:rRNA from 1 species
GACGAACGCUGGCGGCGUGCUUAACACAUGCAAGUCGAACGGAAAGGCCCUGCUUUUGUGGGGUGCUCGAGUGGCGAACGGGUGAGUAACACGUGAGUAACCUGCCCUUGACUUUGGGAUAACUUCAGGAAACUGGGGCUAAUACCGGAUAGGAGCUCCUGCUGCAUGGUGGGGGUUGGAAAGUUUCGGCGGUUGGGGAUGGACUCGCGGCUUAUCAGCUUGUUGGUGGGGUAGUGGCUUACCAAGGCUUUGACGGGUAGCCGGCCUGAGAGGGUGACCGGCCACAUUGGGACUGCGAUACGGCCCAGACUACUACGGGAGGCAGCAGUGGGGAAUAUUGCACAAUGGGCGGAAGCCUGAUGCAGCAACGCCGCGUGCGGGAUGACGGCCUUCGGGUUGUAAACCGCUUUCGCCUGUGACGAAGCGUGAGUGACGGUAAUGGGUAAAGAAGCACCGGCUAACUACGUG